rnacentral:rRNA from 1 species
AAACCAACAGGAUUGCCUCAGUAACGGCGAGUGAAGCGGCAAAAGCUCAAAUUUGAAACCACUCCGGUGGGUUGUAAUUUGAAGAUUGUGUUCUGGACACGACCACGCCUAUGUUCCUUGGAACAGGACGUCACAGAGGGUGAGAAUCCCGUGCGGCGUGGCCCCCGUGUCUGUAUAGUUCACUCUCGACGAGUCGAGUUGUUUGGGAAUGCAGCUCAAAGUGGGUGGUAAAUUCCAUCUAAAGCUAAAUAUUGGCGAGAGACCGAUAGCGAACAAGUACAGUGAUGGAAAGAUGAAAAGCACUUUGAAAAGAGAGUGAAACAGUACGUGAAAUUGUUGAAAGGGAAGGGCAUGCCGUCAGAUUGCCAGUAUCGAUUGCCGGGAAGGACAAAGGCCAGGGAACGUAGCUCGCAAGAGUGUUAUAGCCCGGGCUCCUGCUUCCCCCAGCGAUCGAGGACUGCUUUCAGGAUACUGGCGUAAUGACGGUACGCCGCCCGUCUUGAAACACGGACCC